AUGGUCAGAUACUACCCAUACAUUGGUCGGAUAAUGGCUAGUAGCCAGACUAUACGAGCUCAUCGUACUGCGGCCGUCGUGCCUCUACGGCUCAGCUGGGCACGUCACUAUGCCCGCGGGCCUCCGCCAAUGACCGCUCGAGCCUCUCCUCGCGCCCGCAGCCGUGUCCAACUCCGGCCCUGCAUCGCUCCACCUUCCUGCAACUGUGCCACCGCCUACUUCUUCUACAGACUGCUGCUGCGCUCACUGCAGGAGUUCAAGCUCGUCUCCACUCGUGCAGUGGGCAACACAGCGCCGCGCCGCCCCUCGCGCGCCUUCGCGGCCGGCUGCGCGGCUCCCCGCCGCAUCUCCGCAUCGCCAGCCCCGGCCCUCCACCGCAGCGAGCUCCUCCCGCGCUGGCCGCCUCCCGCCCGGGCUGGCUGCGCGCCUGGCACCGUCCCGGCCCACUCGCCGUCCGGCUGCGCCGUGGCCGUCGCCCACCGCAGCUCUGCCGGGGGCGCCCCUGCCCGUCGCCACUCCAUCAACCGCGCCUCGCUCCCCCGUCACCAUCCCGUGCUGGAGCGCCGUCUCCCCUCCAGCGGUCGCGUGCCUUCGCGCCGCGGCUCCGCCUCGCCUCGCUCCCCCGCCACGGCGCCUGCUCCGGCUGCGCCUGCUCCACCACCAUCACCAUCCCGGCCUCCCCCGGGCCUGGCCGCGUCCGGCUCCUGCGCGCCGACUCCCGUGACCCGCCCGGUCCGAAGUCCCGCAACCCGGCCGCUCGCCGGGUCGGCUCCGCGUCCCGCCCCGGCCGGCCUGGCCGGCUUCCGGCCCUUCCGCCUCCCACGCCUCGACCGCCUCCACGCACCCGGCCGGCCUGGCCGGCCGCCGGCCCUUCCACGCCUGGCCGCCUUCUCACCCGCCUCGCCGCCUGCCGGCUCGCCGACUGCGCCACGCCGACCGUGCCGGCUUCCCCGCCACCCAGCGGCGCCUCCCACGGCCGCCUGCCAGCUUCUCCACCACCCGGGCGGACCUGGCCGGCUCAACCCAAGCCCCACGCGUGCCGGUCACCGCCGCCCGCCCGCCGGCUCCGGGCGGCUUCCUCGUUCCCCCGUGCCGACUGCGCCUGACGCGUCCCUGCCGGCUGCCGCUCCCCAGCUAGCGCGGUUGGCUGCCCCUGCGAAAGAAAAGGGGCCGGAAGAAAACAAAAGUCAAGGGCCGGCUUAA
rnacentral:rRNA from 1 species